rnacentral:rRNA from 1 species
AUACGGAGGAUGCGAGCGUUAUCCGGAUUUAUUGGGUUUAAAGGGUGCGUAGGCGGUUUGCUAAGCGGGAGGUGAAAUGCCGGCGCUCAACGUCGGAAGUGCCUCCCGAACUGGUGGACUUGAAUGACUCUGCCGUGGGAGGAAUGUGUAGUGUAGCGGUGAAAUGCUUAGAGAUUACACAGAACACCGAUUGCGAAGGCAUCUCCCUAAAGGUUGAUUUACGCUGAGGCUCGAAAGCGUGGGGAUCAAACAGGAUUAGAUACCCUGGUAGUCCACGCAGGAAACGAUGAAGGCUAACCGCUGAGCUUAUCAGUUCAGUGCCCAAGCGAAAGCGAUAAGCCAUCCACCUGGGGAGUUCGGCCGCAAGGUUGAAACUCAAAGAAAUUGACAGGG